rnacentral:rRNA from 1 species
UAUAUUAUACACAAAAAAUGAAUACUUUUAAACAUUCUAUAAUAAGUAAUCAAGUCAAAUAUUAUUUAUAAUAAAGCUUGGCUCUGACUUAUUUAUAUGAUUAAGAACUAAAAAAUACACAUGGUUUUUUUGGAAAGAAGCGAGGUAGAAGACUUGAUAUUUUUAGAUAUAUAAGAUUAAAAUUUAUUUUUCUUCUAAGAUAUUAUAGAUUUAUAUAAUGUCUUGAAAAGUCCCGCUAACACCAGUGCUGAAGGUUAAAAAAGAAGCGAAAGCUUGAGUUAAUUUAGUUCACAAAGCUUGGUCAACUUGGUGCCAGCAUCCGCGGUUAAACCAAGAAAGUUAAGUCAUAUUUCUAACGGUAAAAAGACAGUUAAAUAAUUCUAGGAAGUUUAUUUAAUGUUUAUAGAAAGGUAGAAUUUGAAUAUAAACACAUAAUUUUAUUAUAACUUAUGUAUUGAAGCUGUGAUAGCCUUGAGGGAAACUGGGAUUAGAUACCCCAUUAUUCUUGGUCACAAAUUAAAUAUAUUUACCAGAGUACUAUGAACCAUAAAAGUUUAAAACUCAAAGAGCUUGGCGGUGUUUUAGACCUUUCAGGGGAACCUGUCUCAUAAUCGACAAUCCACGCUAUACCUAGCCUUUUUUUGCUUUCAGUUUGUAUACCGUCGUCGUCAGGUAACUUUUAAAAAUUUAAAAGUUAGCAUAAAAAACUAUGUAAGUUUAAACGUCAGAUCAAGGUGCAACCUAUAUAAAGGUGAGGAUGGGUUACAAUUAUUAAAUUAUAAUCACGAACUAAUUAUUUGAACAAAUAAUAAUAAAGGAGGACUUGAAAGUAAAUUAAAUUAUAUAAACAUCUUGAAUAAGGCUCUGAAACGUGCACACAUCGCCCGUCGCUCUCGUUGAAAAAUGAGAUAAGUCGUAACAUAGCAGGGGUAAUGGAAAUUGUCCCUAGACU